rnacentral:lncRNA from 1 species
AAAAUCCUAAUAAGAAAACUCUAGAUUUCUCUUUCCAACCAAAGACACAGGUAGUAACAGGGGAAGAUAUGGAAGGAUCAUGUAUCUGAAGGAGUCGUCAGGUGCUGGCUGAGGAUUUUAGGUUGCUCAUGCAUGGUGGACAGCAUGGUGGAUAGUUGGGAGAUGAAGGAAGUAAAUGUGUGUGUGUGUGUGUGUGUGUGUGUGUGUGUGUGUGUGUGUGUGUGUGUGUGUGUGGUGGAGCAUAGUCAGAGGUGGGAAGUGGGUUUACAGAUGUGUUCAAUGUUCACUAGCCCAGGUCAAAUGUUAGCUGAUAUUUGCUUGUUUUGUGACCUUCAGAAAACUGGUGACUCUCUCUGAAGUACAGCUUUAAUAUCUGCAGAGUAACUUUCCUCUUUGUGCGACUGAGGAUUGGAAUCGGUGCUCAUUAGAGGCAUGUCUUUGCUCUCUCCUCGAUUCCCUCCCAAUCCCUUCUGUUUUGGCCCAUGGAAUGCAAGAGGCACAGAAAACACACCUACCUAACUAGGAGGAUUCCUGAACCUCAUGUUUCUGGACGGUGGUGGCACAUGCCACAUUCCCUACUUCAAUGUAUCUUCAGUGGAGUGGAGACUACUACACAGCAAAGGCUGGCCCAAGGCAGAGUGGUGCAGAAUUCAGAGGAACAGUUUAAGCAUCUGGCUUCUUCCUGGAACAGAGAAGACCCUGCCCUCCCCACCCAGUGCCAGGAUUGUAUCUUAUGUAUUUUGACUCUCCUAUAAUGCCUUGUGGUGAGCACGUGGUCCUCACAAUGCUUGAUGAGUAGAUAAAAGGGAACAUAAAAGCAGAGAUUGUUGUUAAGAUGGAUGGUCCAAAAGAAGUGGAAUUAAUACAGCUGACUCAGUUUUGUGAUGAUAUUUCUUCAGUUCUGGUGCCUUCUGCCAGAAACCCCAGCCUGGGAGUUGCAAGUAGGAAUCCACACGGUGAGUACUUGGCAGGCAAGCUCUGGAAGAGCCGGCUUCGCAUCUGUAGGGCGUAGAGAUGGAGGAACAAGACU